AUGCGCUGUGCACUCAGAUUUGCUACCGCUGAAUGGAUAAAAUCCGGAGAGCGAGCGGAGGUUUCAAAAAAAAAAAAAAAACUGGACCAAAUCAACCUACGUGCAACAUUUCAGAACUCCCAUUGGGGUGUUCAAUUUUCCAACAAAAAAAUACUACUGUAUGAAGUUCCUUUGAAUCAAAGGAGCCCAUUAGAAUUCUUUUGCUUUUCUUGUGCUAUCAAACACCCGAACCCUGCACACUUUCUAUUCUUACAUUUUGAGAAUCCUUCAAAUCAAACAAGACUCACAAACAUUCUAAAAAUGCAAGAAUUACAAGAAAAUAUUAGGGUUGCAAUGUCAUGUCCAUUGGAAUUCUAA
rnacentral:rRNA from 1 species